rnacentral:rRNA from 1 species
GUAGGUGGCAAGCGUUGUCCGGAAUUAUUGGGCGUAAAGCGCGCGCAGGCGGUUCUUUAAGUCUGAUGUGAAAGCCCACGGGCUCAACCGUGGAGGGUCAUUGGAAACUGGAGAACUGAGUACAGAAGAGGAAAGCGGAAUUCCACGUGUAGCGGUGAAAUGCGUAGAGAUGUGGAGGAACACCAGUGGCGAAGGCGGCUUUCUGGUCUGUAACUGACGCUGAGGCGCGAAAGCGUGGGGAGCAAACAGGAUUAGAUACCCUGGUAGUCCACGCCGUAAACGAUGAGUGCUAAGUGUUAGGGGGUUUCCGCCCCUUAGUGCUGCAGCUAACGCAUUAAGCACUCCGCCUGGGGAGUACGGCCGCAAGGCUG